UACAGAGGGGGCAAGCGUUAUUCGGAAUUAUUGGGCGUAAAGGGCGCGUAGGCGGCUUUGCAAGUGACGGGUGAAAGCCCUCGGCUUAACCGAGGAACUGCCUGUCAGACUGUGAGGCUUGAGACCGGGAGAGGUGAGUGGAAUUCCCAGUGUAGCGGUGAAAUGCGUAGAUAUCGGAAGGAACACCUGUGGCGAAAGCGGCUCACUGGACCAUAACUGACGCUGAGGCACGAAAGCUAGGGGAGCAAACAGG
rnacentral:rRNA from 1 species